rnacentral:rRNA from 1 species
UACGGAGGGUGCAAGCGUUAUUCGGAAUUAUUGGGCGUAAAGGGCGUGUAGGCGGCCAGAUAAGUCAGAGGUGAAAGCCCGGGGCUCAACCCCGGAAGUGCCUUUGAAACUAUUUGGCUUGAGUGCGGGAGAGGCAAUCGGAAUUCUCGGUGUAGCGGUGAAAUGCGUAGAUAUCGAGAGGAACUCCGGUGACGAAGGUGGGUUGCUGGACCGACACUGACGCUGAGGCGCGAAAGCUAGGGGAGCAAACGGG